rnacentral:rRNA from 1 species
UACGUAGGGGGCAAGCGUUGUCCGGAAUAAUUGGGCGUAAAGGGCGCGUAGGCGGCAAGGCAAGUCAGCAGUGGAAGUCCCAUUUUCAAGGUGGGGAGGGCUGUUGAAACUGCGUUGCUUGAGUGCAGGAGAGGUUAUCGGAAUUCCCGGUGUAGCGGUGAAAUGCGUAGAGAUCGGGAGGAACACCGGUGGCGAAGGCGGCUUUCUGGCCAGUUACUGACGCUCAUGCGCGAAAGCUGGGGUAGCGAACCGGAUUAGAUACCCGCGUAGUCCCUGA